GGACUACCGGGGUAUCUAAUCCUGUUUGCUCCCCACGCUGUCGCGCCUCAGUGUCAGCAACUGCCCAGCAGGCCGCCUUCGCCACCGGUGUUCUUCCGGAUCUCUACGCAUUCCACCGCUACACCCGGAAUUCCGCCUGCCUCUACAGUGCUCCAGCCGCGGCAGUAUUCAUGGCCGACGCAGGGUUGAGCCCCGCGCUUUCACCACGAACUGACCGGGCCACCUACGCGCCCUUUACGCCCAAUGAUUCCGGACAACGCUCGCACCCUCCGUAUUACCGCGGCUGCUGGCAC
rnacentral:rRNA from 1 species